rnacentral:rRNA from 1 species
CGAAAGCCUGAUGCAGCAACGCCGCGUGAGUGAUGAAGGCCUUCGGGUCGUAAAACUCUGUCCUCAAGGAAGAUAAUGACGGUACUUGAGGAGGAAGCCCCGGCUAACUACGUGCCAGCAGCCGCGGGAAUACGUAGGGGGCUAGCGUUAUCCGGAUUUACUGGGCGUAAAGGGUGCGUAGGCGGUCUUUCAAGUCAGGAGUGAAAGGCUACGGCUCAACCGUAGUAAGCUCUUGAAACUGGGAGACUUGAGUGCAGGAGAGGAGAGUGGAAUUCCUAGUGUAGCGGUGAAAUGCGUAGAUAUUAGGAGGAACACCAGUUGCGAAGGCGGCUCUCUGGACUGUAACUGACGCUGAGGCACGAAAGCGUGGGGAGCAAACAGGAUUAGAUACCCUGGUAGUCCACGCUGUAAACGAUGAGUACUAGGUGUCGGGGGUUACCCCC